GGGUCAACCUGCGGAAACCCGGGUAUCGAAAUCAUCACGGCGGUGCUACCGGACGCCAGAAAUCGUUCACGUUUAACAAACUACUUUCCACCUGUGGGAUAAGCACAAUUGUAGCAUUUGUAGCGUAUUAUGGUUAUCUUGGAUAUUUAGAGACUAGAAUUUCAACUCCUCUGCAAGUAGAUAAGGUAGUCGUCCGUGCAGGGCU